GAAAGUUGAAGAGUCCCACAAUAGGACGAAACGGCCGUCCAGUGC
rnacentral:hammerhead_ribozyme from 1 species